AGUCAACAACCUCAAGAAUUAGUUGCCAAAGAUGUACAUGGAAAUGAUUGGUGUUUCCCGCUCAUCUAUCGUGGUGAGAAAAGGAGGCAUUUGCUGACAGCUGGGUGGAGAGUCUUUGUUAACUCCGAAAGGCUUGUAGCAGGAGAUGCAUUCAUCUUUAUGAGGGAUAAAAAUGGCGAACUACAUGUAGCGGUCGGCGUGCCAUGCAUCAGCAAAGUAACAUUCCUGUCCGUAGUUAUAUCCAGUCGCAGAAUGGAGAUUUUUGUCCUUGCUGCUGCGUCACAUGCCAUUCCAGGGAGGGCUAUGUUUAGAGUCUACUACAAGCCAAGGCAAAA